GAGCGGUAACAGGUGUAGCAAUACAUGCUGACGAGCGGCGAACGGGUGAGUAAUGCUUCGGAAUCUGCCCAAUGGUGGGGAACAACCAGCCGAAAGGUUGGCUAAUACCGCAUAAGCCCUACGGGGGAAAGCAGGGGAUCGCAAGACCUUGCGCCGAUGGAUGAGCCGAAGUCGGAUUAGCUAGUUGGUAGGGUAACGGCCUACCAAGGCGACGAUCCGUAGCUGGUCUGAGAGGACGACCAGCCACACUGGGACUGAGACACGGCCCAGACUCCUACGGGAGGCAGCAGUGGGGAAUAUUGGACAAUGGGGGAAACCCUGAUCCAGCGACGCCGCGUGUGUGAGGAAGGCCUGCGGGUUGUAAAGCACUUUUAGUGGGGAUGAAAAGCUCAGGGCUAACACCUCUGAGUCUUGACCUAACCCACAGAAAAAGCACCGGCUAACUCUGUG
rnacentral:rRNA from 1 species